GUCAGAUCUCUGCUGGAAAACACACGUUUGGAUUAUUUUCAGGUGCAGAGACAGUGACUUGGUGAGUCUUGCUGUUGAAAGACAAUUUACAUACCAAGACAAAUGGCUGAGAAAAGUUCUGUGCUUGAAAGCUUCUUGAGUUGCCACGUGUGUUCAGAGACUUUCAGAGAUCCUGUAACUCUGAGCUGCAACCACAGAUUCUGUUCAAGCUGCCUGAAGCUGCCUCCCAGCUGGAGGGGAAGCUCGGCCUGAUUGUUGGAGGAGGAAACAUGGGGCAGAGGAGAUGGUCCUCCUCAUCCAGGAUCUCCACUUCACCCUGGACGUCUCUUUGCUGGAUUCUCUCUGCAUCCAGGACAUAUGGAGACACAGAGGAGCCACCUCAGCUGCAUUCAGGACCCACCAGGCGCAGCUGUACACACAGACUGGUAGACUGACAAAGGGCGGCGUCAGCCUUCCAGGUUCCACCUUCACCAGUUCAUCCCAGCUGUCUUCUUGGACUAAACUCGGGCCCUGCAAACUGGGCCAGUGUUAGCCGCCUGGUGGAGGCCGUUUGCAACUGGCUCUGCCGUCUUCACCCGGUGGCCACGUGGUCCAGAGGGGCCGUGAGGACUCGGUGGUCAUUCAUUCUUAUUCUUCAGAUUGAGGACUCAGUGGUGGGACAAGGACAGUCCUUUAACCUCUUCUGUUCAUCCACCUCCUCUGCCUGGACUCCCUGUACCCAGGAACAGAGCCUACAGGAAGAGGAAGGCGUCCCGAAGCUGCUGUGGCAGAGCGGGGGCCGCUGCCUGGAGGAAAAACCCCUCCGGCUGCCGACAUCAUACAUCUGCAGCAAGUGUGGACAACCCAGAAGGACUGACACUGACGACACUCACAUUGCAGGGGUGUCACACUGUGUGACUGUUGGUGGAAAGACUGUGGAGGAGUGGAGGGAAGAGAUGAAGAAAAGACAGGACAAUGCUUUCUAUCUUCAUUUAUAACUUUUAAUUGACAUUUAUUAUAUUUGAUUUGUUGCAUUUGGAGUGGUGUUUGUGUCACCUGAUGUCUCAUGAUGAUGUCAGUCCAGUGUUCCCUCUCUUUUACUUCUGUGUUUGGUCUCCACCAGCUCCUGAGGGAAAUCUGUCUCUUUAGCUGCUAAUGCUCUGCUAUGUUCAGCAGCUGCUCUCUGACUAUAUCUGUCUGCAGUUUGCUGCUGAGGAGGUAGUGGACAGUAUAUAUUCUAUUAAAUUGUGUUGUACUCUAUUAUUGUUAAAAAAAAUCUCAAGCUGACAUGUCAGACUGGGUGGGUGGGUGGGGCAAGGGAGGAGAAAGCAUAGGGGAGUUUAAAAAAGCACUGGGUGUGUACACCUGAGAUCCCUUUGUUAGAGACCAUGCUGCCACAUCAGUAGGUCGCUGGAAACCAAUGUCCUUUGUUUGAUCUUAUUUAAUUUUUAUUUCUUUCAAAUUAUGUUUACCUUCAAUGAAUCUUAAUUUAUGAGUUUAUUUGACCUGAAAAUUGUUGUAAUUUAGAACAAGAAGUAGUGAAGUUGUAUCCUGCAUUUAAUUAUGUUCUUUGUUAACAGGAUAAGCAAUACCCUGGUUAAUGUUUGAGAUUCCUUUUUUUCCUUUGUAUGCAUUAAGAAUGUAAGAUGUUAUAGUUACCGUUUCUUUAUUAUCUUUGUGGUAUGUGUGGCAAGUUAUUUACUUUUGUUUGUUGUACUGAAGAAUCCAUCCAUCCAUGCAUCCUACCAUCAGUUCCUUGCUGAAUUUCCUGAACAAAAUAAAUGGUUAAAUGUC